GACGAACGCUGGCGGCGUGCCUAAUACAUGCAAGUAGAACGCUGAAGAGAGGAGCUUGCUCUUCUUGGAUGAGUUGCGAACGGGUGAGUAACGCGUAGGUAACCUGCCUUGUAGCGGGGGAUAACUAUUGGAAACGAUAGCUAAUACCGCAUAACAAUGGAUGACACAUGUCAUUUAUUUGAAAGGGGCAAUUGCACCACUACAAGAUGGACCUGCGUUGUAUUAGCUAGUAGGUGAGGUAAUGGCUCACCUAGGCGACGAUACAUAGCCGACCUGAGAGGGUGAUCGGCCACACUGGGACUGAGACACGGCCCAGACUCCUACGGGAGGCAGCAGUAGGGAAUCUUCGGCAAUAGGGGCAACCCUGACCGAGCAACGCCGCGUGAGUGAAGAAGGGUUUCGGAUCGUAAAGCUCUGUUGUAAGUCAAGAACGGGUGUGAGAGUGGAAAGUUCACACUGUGACGGUAGCUUACCAGAAAGGGACGGCUAACUACGUG
rnacentral:rRNA from 1 species